GUAGCCUAACCGCAAGGGGGGCGUCUCCACGGUGCGUUUCGUGACUGGGGUG
rnacentral:rRNA from 1 species